rnacentral:lncRNA from 1 species
AUGCAGUAUGCUUCCUGUGAGUUUGCUGAAUGUGACGCAGUGCAGCCAGUUGAGAGAAACAGUGCGUGGCUUUUAGCUGGGUUAGUGCCUGCUACACUUGUCUCCACAACAGAAAAAAACAAACUUUUCCAACUUAUCAGACUGGGUCAACAUUACAACUUCAGCGCAGAACUCCAGUCAGCCAGCAGAGGGCAGCAAUGGAGAGUGUUCAGCUGUUCCCACCCACCUCCACAUCCACGUGUGGAGGGGCAUCAUGGGAAGUGUGCAGGGUGUGCCUCAGAUGGUUAUCCAGGCAGUGGAGAUUAG